GACGAACGCUGGCGGCGUGCUUAACACAUGCAAGUCGAACGGAAAGGCCCUGCUUUUGUGGGGUGCUCGAGUGGCGAACGGGUGAGUAACACGUGAGUAACCUGCCCUUGACUUUGGGAUAACUUCAGGAAACUGGGGCUAAUACCGGAUAGGAGCUCCUGCUGCAUGGUGGGGGUUGGAAAGUUUCGGCGGUUGGGGAUGGACUCGCGGCUUAUCAGCUUGUUGGUGGGGUAGUGGCUUGCCAAGGCUUUGACGGGUAGCCGGCCUGAGAGGGUGACCGGGCACAUUGGGACUGAGAUACGGCGCAGACGGCUACGGGAGGCAGCAGUGGGGAAUAUUGCACAAUGGGCGGAAGCCUGAUGCAGCAACGCCGCGUGCGGGAUGACGGCCUGCGGGUUGUAAACCGCUUUCGCCUGUGACGAAGCGUGAGUGACGGUAAUGGGUAAAGAAGCACCGGCUAACUACGUG
rnacentral:rRNA from 1 species